GGGGGAAACUGCAGUGGGAUAGUAGUGUGCAAAACUCAUAGGUAGCAUUCUGCUUGAUUUUUCAAGCCCCAAGCAGCAGCUGGCAAUUAGAACUCCAUUUGUUGGUUGCUUUUGCUCUGCUGUCUAGUGUCAUUAUUUAGUAUAGUCACUAAGUGCAAUGGGGCUUUAUUGUAUUUGGGUGAGUCAGGAGUUUCUUGUUACAGUUCUGUUGGGGACAAAUGACAAAUAUCCUAUUUACCUUCUUGACUCACAGUAUUUGGGUGAGUCAGGAGUUUCUUGUUACUGUUCUGUUGGGGACAGAUCACAAAGAUUCUAUUUACCUUCCUGACUCAUAGCCUUCCAAAACAUUGUCAGUUGCUCACUCCACUUAAAGACUCCAGUUAUUUGUAGUGCAUUAUGGGAUAUAUAUAAACAGUUGUUCUUGUGCCACUCUGAUUUGGCACAGAAAUCAGACUAAAGAUGGUUUGGUGGAAGAUUUAGAUUAUUGUGAGCAUACAAAUGAUUUGGCACUAAAUGAUAUGAGAAUACAGAAAUCACAAGAAUGCAUAAUGCUCAUUUCUGUGGAAUAAUUCAUGAAUAGAUUCAUGAGAAGGAUGGCAGGUUGCAAAAUGGCAACCAUAAUAUUUCAGAUCAGGGUUUGUUUACAGAACUGCACUAUUCAGACCUAAUUACAACCACAGACACUUUUUUUAAUUAUUUAAAUUGUAUUUAUACUUUCCACCAAACCAUCUGGCAGUAUUGUAGCCCUUCUAUUAAUCAGAAACAUUGGAAGUGGUGAUGACGUACACCUCCACCCUCAACUGGUGUCACCUCCAUGGAUAGACUUUGUAAAUGCCCAAAUAGGGCUUUGGAACUUUGCCUCCAGUUAUUCAAAUAGUCCAGGGAUAUUUCCAGUGUGGUAUAUGAACGUAGGAGCCAACUCCUAGGGACUAAGGGGUCUUCAGCUCCCCCAUAAGAUAUUUGAGCCCCCACCCAAGUUGAUGGGCAUUGCCAUUCAAAUGGUGUAUGUGCACUGUCUCAUGUGAUCUGUUAUGUGGGGCGGGGCUUACCUCCCCCUCCCCCAAUAUUUUGUUCAGGUUGGCAGCCCUGUAUGUGAACAAAUCCUGGAAGCCAAUAAGAUAUAAAUGCUUAUGCUGGUGGUAGUUAGCAUGAUAAUAUGCUGGUGUUGCUAGGAUCUCAUUCUAAUAUUGCCUUUUAAAAUUGUGCUGAGAGUUUUCUGAAGUAUCUAUGGUGAAUGCAAACCAGCUGGCAUCAUUUACCAUUGUUCGGCAAUCUUAUAUAUUUAAUUGUGCCCAAGUAAGCCAAGGAUAACAGAUUAGCAUUUUGCCUCCACAUUGUAUUUGCUUUGUAUUGGUAAAAAUGGCUAUGCAAGGCAGUGAGGAAUUGAGACUGCAAAUCUAAAUGCACUUACCAAGGAGUGAAUUCAGUGCCUUGCAUCCUGAAUUGCCCUUCUGCAAACAAUAGGUUGCCUUCUAGUCACAGAAGAGACUCUGGUCCAGUGUAGGCUCUCAUUAGUUGAAAGGAUGGAGGCAAUUUUCACUUGUUCCCCUAUGCUCUCCUCCUGCAUUGCCUUCCCCACUGUUCUAGAGGGUUCUUCUUCAACUGCCUAGACCAGAUUUUUAAAUACUGCUGGGGGUUGUAGGAAGAAUGAGUAAAAAUCAACUUCCCAUUCUCCUUUGGCCAGGGGGAACAUCACAUCAGAGGAGUUCCACUGACACAAACUUAGAAUCCAAGCCUAGUGGAUUUACUUCCAAGUAUAGUUCCUAAGAAUUGCACUGUACAUCAUAUGCCAAUUCCGUGUAAAAAUUCUGCAUGAAUGUAACAUAGCAAUUAGAUCAUACAUUGUGGAAAAGUGAUGAAGUAUCUUAUUAGGUGAUGUGCAACACUGAGUAAUGUAUUGGGGGCUUUUUGGUUUUUUAAAUUUAUAUUUAUUUGUUUUAUUUUAAAAUCUUUAAGAUAAUACAGUGGUACCUCGGGUUACAUAAGCUUCAGGUUACAUACGCUUCAGGUUACACACUCCGCUAACCUAGAAAUAGUGCUUCAGGUUAAGAACUUUGCUUCAGGAUGAGAACAGAAAUUGUGCUCCGGUGGCGCAGCAGCAGCAGGAGGCCCCAUUAGCUAAAGUGGUGCUUCAGGUUAAGAACAGGUUCAGGUUAAGAACGGACCUCCGGAACGAAUUUAGUACUUAACCUGAGGUACCACUGUAUUUUAGUUUACUGUUAAUUAUGUUGCUUUGAAUGUAUUCUUUGUAUCUGACUUUCUGUAGUGUUUUAUUCUGGAUGGUUUUAGUUGAUGUUUUAACAUGUUUGAGGUUUUUUCUUAAAAAUAUAAAGUGGUAUAAAAAUGAAAUGAAUAAUGAUGGCGGUGCUAAUGAUGAUGUGGGGAUUUCUUCUUUUAGCCUUUUGGUAUCACUUCACUCUAUAUAAUGAUGGACGCCCUCCAGGCUCUCCCCAUUUGGCCCAUGAGUUUGCAAAGUCCUGUGUGUUGAGCUUUGCAAGCACCAAUGAUCAGCUGAUCAUUAAGGCUUGCCAGGAGCCUGUGCCUUUGCCCACAGGACUUUGUUUCAAACCAUGCAUGCAUAUAUGGGUCACCUGAUUUCAUUGUGACAUCAGGUGAUUGCUUACCUGUCAGAAUUGGCCCAAAGGGGAUGGGGGAGAUCACGAUCUGGCCUGUGGCAUAACAAUGGUCAAUAACUAUUUAAUCAUUUCUUUAAAUAAUUUCUAUUGUGCUUUUCUACACCAGAGUGUACUCAAAGCAAGUUUACAGUAAAACAACAGAUAACAAAACUCAAAAUUAUAAAAAUGAAGCAAACCUAUUGACUGACUUUGAUGAACUAAAGGCCACCUCUAGCCCAUUAAAGCUUAUGUCACAAUACAUUGGUUGGUCUUUAAGGUGCCACAAAACUCAUUGUUGCUGACACGGUGAACACACUUUUCAUAUUUUCCAUGGAACAUUUUAAAUAUUUUAAUUAAGAUUUAUUCCCUUCAUUGUGUUUUGUAACUAGCAAAGAUAAUUAGAGAAAAUAUGACUCUCUGUCUAUUUUCAAAAUUAUUGUAAGCUGCAGGCACAUCUUAUUAGACGGUAUAGAAGAAAACACUGAUAAAAGCGGAAGACUGGUGUUUUGGCUUUAUAGCAUACUUAGGUCACCCUCUGCUGGACAACAAAUGAAUAGCCAUGGAUUUUCUGCUAAAUAUUUCUCCCUUCCCUUAAACUUGUUGGUAUAGUUUUAGGGACUCCUUGACACUUUCUGAAUAUCCAGGCAUUUGUUCUUGGCUUAAGUGCUGAUAAUGUUACCUAGAUUAAAAAUAUAGGAACACAGUAUUUGAAAAUAUUUGUGAUUGGUUUGCCAAGCAGUGAAACAACAUCCACUGUGGCUCAAGUAAGCUCUUUAUGGGGGUCAGAGCCCUUAAUAAAACAGGGCAUAACAGAACAGUAGCAAAGGAAAAGUAGCAUGUAUUUGGAAGAGAAAACAUAAACUCAAGCAUUUUUUUAAAAAAGAGUUGUGUUCUUGCUCAUUAAAUAUUUGCAAGCUGUCAAGACAGGAUUUGACAGCUAUAUCCAAGAAAUGUGAUACAAGCAUAAAUAGCUCAAAUCUACAUCUCAGAAUAGCUGGCUGGACUUCAUAACCUCUAUGUAUAACACAACUUGAGUUGGCAAUAUGGAAACACAUGGGCAAGAUGUCCAGAUUUAGACUUAUACAAUUUUAUUGCUAGCCUGCUUAUCCCUCUGCUAAACUUCUUCUUUCCUGAGAGAAGCAGAUCUGUGGCAGAUGUUUAUUAUGGGUUUUCAGACAUGAAAUUCCUUGUCUAUUUAGCUCCAGGGAUUUUUAUUUUGCUCUGAUUAACCUUCUGGACUUUUUAAAGGCAUUAUUUUCCAGGUCCAGCCCUACCAUUAGGCAGAGUGAGGUGGUAAUCUCAGGCAGCUAGUUGUGGAUGUCAUGAAAAAGCUGCAAAUUGUAAGUUAUUAAAUUUAAUAUGGUUGCGCUUUUCCUCCCAGGCAGAGGCAUUUGUUAUACGUUCUGCUUCAGGUGCCAAAAAUAACUUGGUCAGCCUUGGGUACGAUAGAACUGACUGGUGGGGUGGGGAUUUGCUCAUCUGCCUCAGAUGACUUAAUGUGUCAAGCUGGGCCUGUUUGUUUCUUAUUUGUAUUUAUGAAAGGGAGGGAAGGAUUGAGAUGCACCUUGUUGGGCAUAUCCAAGAAGGAAUGAGCUGAAGGGAGAUGAUAGUAUAUUUGAGUUGUAUAUACUUUGAUACAUAUAAGGAAAUUGAUUAAAAAACUGAAUCGCUCUCUCUUUGUACAAUUAUUUUCCUUUCUAGAGAGAAUGACCACUGGAGCUACACACAAUGGGCAUAGCAUGCAAAUUUAAUGCCACCUACUAUGACUGACUAACAGCUUUGGCAUAGAUUAAUGUCUCCCAUAAAAUUCACCCUCUCCAGUUCAUGUUUUUUGUAUAAGGUAACAUGCUUUAGUCACAGUUUGAAUGCAAAGAAUUGAAUCUGGC